UGCCAGCAGCCGCGGUAAUACUGAAGGUGCAAGCGUCAAUCGGAAUCACUGGGCGCAAAGCGCGCGUAGGCGGUUUGUUAAGUCAGAUGUGAAAGCCCUGGGCUCAACCUGGGAAUUGCAUUUGAUACUGGCAGACUAGAGUAUGGUAGAGGGAAGUGGAAUUCCGGGUGUAGCGGUGAAAUGCGUGGAUAUCCGGAGGAACAUCAGUGGCGAAGGCGACUUCCUGGACCAAUACUGACGCUGAGGUGCGAACGCGUGGGGAGCAGACAGGAUUAGAUA
rnacentral:rRNA from 1 species